ACGCAGAGAACUGAAACAUCUAAGUACCUGCAGGAAGAGAAAGAAAAUUCGAUUCCCUGAGUAGCGGCGAGCGAAACGGGAAAAGCACAAACCAACAAGCUUGCUUGUUGGGGUUGUAGGACUCCAACAUGGUCGUUCUUUCAGAUAGUCGAAUGACUUGGAAAAGUCAGUCAAAGAGGGUAAAAACCCCGUAGACGAAAUGUGGAAGACACCU
rnacentral:rRNA from 1 species